rnacentral:tRNA from 1 species
AAGAGUGUGAUUUAAUGGUAAAAUAUAAAGCUUCAAACUUUAAAUUCUUAGUACUAAUUUAAGCGCUUUUU